AGCUAUAUAUCUGAUUUAUUAUGAUUUUAAAGUUCCCAAAAUACCCCUAUUUACAAUUGAGCGUGUAAGAGGCUGGUGUUUGAAGUUUUGGACCCUCUUUUUAUUGUAGUGAUCCUCUCCAUAAUUUGUGUAUGCAAUUAAUUAUCUAUUUUGAUUAUGGGGUUAAUUUUCUUAAUCCUACGUUUUGAUUAUGGUUUUAGUUUGGAGAUUGGUGUUCUGAUUAGGGUUCCUAAAGGUGGAAAUUUGGUUGAAGUUCAAGAAAUUCCAGGUAUUGAAAUUCCAUUUGAAAAUUCCGGAGCAUUCGACACUGACUAGCAAGCGUGAGUGAUCUGCCAUCAAAUUGCAGGUACAUUAAUGUUCUUGUGUUCUAAUAUAUGUUCAAGAUCCAAUGAGCUUGAGGUUGGGGCAUUUGAGAUGACUUACCUCGUGCCGGAUCAUCCUCCAUGUGUACUAGAGACCGACUUAGAUGUGCGUGUAAUGUAUCUGUCCUUGAUGAAUGAGAAGAAAUAUACAGUUACAAUUGCUAUUAAGGAGUUUUUAUUUCCUGAGAAGCAAAACGGUGUUGAUGAUAUGUUUUGUGGUGAUGGUAAUACGCAUAAUUGGGAAAUAUGCAGCACCUUCUGGUCAUACAUACUUGUCUCAUUCUUGGAAGAACUACAUCAAUUAUGUGGGUCAGAAUAGUGAUUGUUGUACAUGAUCCUGUUUUUUUUUUGGUUUUUUAUUUUUAUACUUCUGUAUAGUGAUUGUUAGUUGGAUGGUUAAAUUGUUGGUAGGCAAACUAGUUCACCCCAUCGUGCCUAUUGUGAGAAAGCAUGUGCACCACACUGAGAAAAAAGUGAAUGGCAGGUACCCUGCUCAUUUUUAGGUCUCUCCCAUGCUUCAUAGUGUACCUGGUUUUGGGUUUUAUUUUUGCUGUUUUUAAACCUGGUUUGAUCUUUAGUUGUGAUCCUGAUAACAGGAUCUGUUGUACAUGAUCCUGUUUUUUUUUAAGAAUCAUGAUGUUAGUUUUAUACUUUUGUA